rnacentral:tRNA from 1 species
GCCUGGGUGGCUCAGUCAGUUGGGUGUCCGACUUCAGCUCAGGUCAUGACCUCGUGGUUUGUGGGUUCGAGUCCCGCGUCAGGCU